AUUGAAAGCUGGCGGCAGGCCUAACACAUGCAAGUAGAACGAGUGGCGGACGGGUGAGUAAUGUAGGGGAAACUGACUGAUGGAGGGGGAUAACUACGGGAAACGGUAGCUAAUACCGCAUACCAUCGGAUGUGCACAAAUGGGAGUAGCUAGUAGGUGGGGUAAAGGAUAAACUGGGCGACGAUCCCUAGCUGGUCUGAGAGGAUGACCAGCCAAACUGGAACUGAGACACGGUCCAGACUCCUACGGGAGGCAGCAGUGGGGAAUAUUGCACAAGUGGCGCAAGCCUGAUGCAGCCAUGCCGCGUGUGUGAAGAAGGCCUUCGGUUUGUAAAGUACUUUCAGCGGGGAGGCGUUACCCGCAGAAGAAGCACCGGCUAACUCCGUGCCAGCAGCCGCGGUAAUUC
rnacentral:rRNA from 1 species